UUUAGGCUAGGUACCCCAUCCAGUGGGACCCCAAAUUUGAGCAUGGCAGCUGCCCCCUCAGCUCCUGUGAGGUGGAGACGUCACACACUGGCUGGGUGUAAGCUCAGCGAUCUGGCGGGACUGGAAGGAGGAAGAAGGGCUCACCCCCUGCUGGCUCUCCCUCCCCGUGGGACUCCUUUUCCUUUCCAGGAGGGGAUAUAAGCCCGGAAAGGAAAGCCCUGAGCAGAGGAGGCCUCAGCUUGACCUGACCCAGUGCAGCCCUUGAAACUUCCCUCGCCUUCUACCUCCUGCUCAUCUGCUUCAUAAGCUGUCGCUAUGGUGUCGGUGCGCAGGUCGUGGCCUACCAUGGCCACAGUGCUUUUGGCCCUGCUCGUCUACCUGGGGGCGCUGGUCGAGGCCCACCCCAUCAAACCCGAGGCUCCCGGCGAAGACGCCUCCCUGCAGGAGCUGAGCCGCUACUACGCCUCCCUGAGCCACUACCUCAACGGGGUCACCCGGCCGUGGUGAGCGCAGGCGCGGGGUGGGCCGAGCGGGACCCCUGGGGCUCUCCCCCUGCGGCCCUUCUCCACCGGGGGCGUGGUCAGAUCUGACCACGCCCUUCCAGGCCCCGCCCCCAGGCAUGGGAAGACAGCCCGGACACACACCUCUCCAAAACGUUCUUCCCAGACGGCGAGGACCGCCCGGGCACGUCGCAGUAAAAGCGCCCCCGUCAAGUCACAUAACAUCCUGCCUCCGAGAGUGCGGUCUGGCCCCACCCUGGUACAUCACUUACGACGUCUCCCAGGCUCGCCUCCCCAGAUCGGAUUCCUUUCCCUUCACUCCCGCAGGCCGGAGGCGCAGACCUGUGGUGAGGACCCCCGAGGCCUCCUGGGAGAUCUGCAGACCACGCCCACCUCAUUUGCAUGUUCACUCCCGACCCCAGAAACCCGGAUUCCGCCUCCCGACGGCAUCUGGGCAGGGAUCGGGUACCGCAGUCCUGCGUCUCGGUGCCCUCGCCUCUUGAGCUGCAGGGCUGUGUGUGGUCCUUCCCUGGUCCCAAAAUAACGAGCGAAUUCCACAGAAACGGAA